AGUCGUACGCAUGCUAUUUGCCAACGGAGCUUGCUCCACCGGGAAAAGAGGAGUGGCGAACGGGUGAGUAACACGUGGGUAACCUGCCCAUCAGAAGGGGAUAACACUUGGAAACAGGUGCUAAUACCGUAUAACAAUCGAAACCGCAUGGUUUCGUUUUGAAAGGCGCUUUACGGUGCCGCUGAUGGAUGGACCCGCGGUGCAUUAUCUAUUUGGUGAGGUAACGGCUCACCAGGGCCACGAUGCAUACCCGACCUGAGAGGGUGAUCGGCCACAUUGGGACUGAGACACGGCCCAAACUCCUACGGGAGGCAGCAGUAGGGAAUCUUCGGCAAUGGACGAAAGUCUGACCGAGCAACGCCGCGUGAGUGAAGAAGGUUUUCGGAUCGUAAAACUCUGUUGUUAGAGAAGAACAAGGGUGAGAGUAACUGUUCACCCCUUGACGGUAUCUAACCAAAAAGCCACGGCUAACUACGUGCCAGCAGCCGCGGUAAUACGUAGGUGGCAAGCGUUGUCCGGAUUUAUUGGGCGUAAAGCGAGCGCAGGCGGUUUCUUAAGUCUGAUGUGAAAGCCCCCGGCUC
rnacentral:rRNA from 1 species